rnacentral:rRNA from 1 species
UACGUAGGGGGCAAGCGUUGUCCGGAUUUAUUGGGCGUAGAGAGCGUGUAGGCGGUCAGGUAGGUCCGUUGUGAAAACUCGAGGCUCAACCUCGAGACGUCGGUUGAAACCAUCUGGCUAGAGUCCGGAAGAGGAGUGUGGAAUUCCUGGUGUAGCGGUGGAAUGCGCAGAUAUCAGGAGGAACACCAAUAGCGAAGGCAGCUCGCUGGGACGUUUACUGACACUGAGGCGCGAAAGCGUGGGUAGCGAACAGG